rfam:Lysinibacillus sphaericus OT4b.31 genomic scaffold Ls31_scaffold1, whole genome shotgun sequence.
AAAUAUCCUCGUUAGGUGAGGCUCCUGUGUAGGAGAUAUGCUACUGCCCAGAAAUGUCGAAAGACGCCAAUGGGUCAACAGAAACCAUCGACAUAAGGUGGUUUUUAAUGUAGCUGGCUUUGUCCUAUGCCACACAGUGCUAAAGCUCUACGAAUGGAGGAACAGA